UGGUAUCACCCGACAACUUUAGUUGAUUUCU
rnacentral:piRNA from 1 species